CUGAAAAUUUGACCUCGGAUCAGGUAGGAAUACCCGCUGAACUUAAGCAUAUCAAAAAAUCGGAGGAGA
rnacentral:rRNA from 1 species